ensembl:snRNA U6 U6 spliceosomal RNA
UUGCUUUGGCAGCACGUACACUAAAAUUAGAAUAAUACAAAGAUGAUCAGCAUGGCCCCUGCAUAAGGAUGACACGUUGACUUGUGAAGUCAAGCAUACUUUU